rnacentral:rRNA from 1 species
UACGUAGGGUCCGAGCGUUGUCCGGAAUUACUGGGCGUAAAGGGCUCGUAGGCGGCCAACUAAGUCGGAUGUGAAAUCCCCAGGCUCAACCUGGGAACUGCAUCCGAUACUGGAUGGCUUGAAUCCGGGAGAGGGAUGCAGAAUUCCAGGUGUAGCGGUGAAAUGCGUAGAUAUCUGGAGGAAUACCGGUGGCGAAGGCGGCAUCCUGGACCGGCAUUGACGCUGAGGAGCGAAAGCUAGGGGAGCAAACGGG